AGCUGUCUGCUGCAGUGUGGCGGCCUGGAGAGGCGGCAGGAGAGGACGCCAUGUGACCAUGUGACUCAAAGACUGCCCACCUCAGCAGCCUCCUCACCUGGUUUCCUGCCAGUUAUCCCAGCAUCCUCAGUGCACAGCUGAUUAGAGGCCUCUUCCUGCAACAGAGGACGAGACAAGGACGACGCACUCGCCGCCUGCCAGGAAAGCUCUUAGCUUUGGUCGUCCGGGCCGAGGCGGAGGCUGCGGCUCGAUGAAGACGGAUGGUCUAAUCCUGCGAGGAGGAGGGGCAGCGAGUUCUCUUCCACAGAGUCCGUCAUGUUGCUUUGCUGCAGCAGCCCAGAGCAGACAGACGAACGCUGGCUACAGGGAGGAAGUUCACGUUUUUAGGGUGGGCUGAAAUCCCACGCGCUGAAGGAUAACUCAGGGGAUAUAUUUUCUCAAAACCAACAAAAUAUUGAUCCUUCUCAAAAGUACUGAGUGUGUGUCACAGCCUUCUUCUUCUUCUUCUUCUCUGUGUCACAAAGCACCGUCGUCGUCCAGAAACACAUCAGCGGGCCACACUGUCACACAGGGUUACGUGAACACACACUCUGUAGUGAGCAUUCGUGGCAGCAGGAUG